AUUGAACGCUGGCGGCAGGCCUAACACAUGCAAGUCGAGCGAGCGGCGGACGGGUGAGUAAUGUAUGGGGAACUGCCUGAUGGAGGGGGAUAACUACUGGAAACGGUAGCUAAUACCGCAUACCAUCAGAUGAACCCAUAUGGGAUUAGCUAGUAGGUAGGGUAAUGGCGUACCUGGGCGACGAUCCCUAGCUGGUCUGAGAGGAUGAUCCGCCACACUGGGACUGAGACACGGCCCAGACUCCUACGGGAGGCAGCAGGUGGGAAUAUUGCACAAUGGGCGCAAUCCUGAUGCAGCCAUGCCGCGUGUGUGAAGAAGGCCUUCGGGUUGUAAAGUACUUUCAGUCGGGAGGCGUUACCGGCAGAAGAAGCACCGGCUAACUCCGUGCCAGCAGCCGCGGUAAUAC
rnacentral:rRNA from 1 species